GACGAACGCUGGCGGCGUGCUUAACACAUGCAAGUCGAACGAUGAACCCGGAGCUUGCUCCGGUGGAUUAGUGGCGAACGGGUGAGUAACCUGCCCUUGACUCUGGGAUAACUGCGGGAAACUGUAGCUAAUACCGGCUACGACCCUCGGCGGCAUCGCCAGGGGGUGGAAAGAAUUUCGGUCAAGGAUGGACUCGCGGCCUAUCAGCUAGUUGGUGAGGUAGCGGCUUACCAAGGCGACGACGGGUAGCCGGCCUGAGAGGGUGACCGGCCACACUGGGACUGAGACACGGCCCGGACUCCUACGGGAGGCAGCAGUGGGGAAUAUUGCACAAUGGGCGCAAGCCUGAUGCAGCAACGCCGCGUGAGGGAUGACGGCCUUCGGGUUGUAAACCUCUUUUAGUAGGGAAGAAACGAAAGUGACGGUACCUGCAGAAAAAGCACCGGCUAACUACGUGCCAGCAGCCGCAGUAA
rnacentral:rRNA from 1 species